ensembl:lncRNA
ACUAAAUACCUCCUCUGAGCAAACUAACAAUUGUAGCCAUUAUAAUUAAAUCACAAUGGAUUAGCUAGUUUCCAUUAAUUAGCUGACUGUGUUAGCUGCCAAUUAGUGCAGUGUCCUUAGCUAGCUAGCUAUGUUGUGCUAGCUUGCGAAUAUGCUAACGUUUGCUAGCUAGCUAAGCAUUUGGCUAUGUGCUGGCACUGGUAGUAUGGGAUUAUGGAGAGGGAAUUCAAUUGUUUCUUCGUCAUCUUGCUAGGUAGUUAUCUAGCUGUGGUUAUAUGGCUAGUAUCAACAAGGGCUUUCUACAAAAUAACAACAUUAGUGCAGAUAGCUUGGAAUCUAUUCUAGACCUUAAGCAAUACUCACGGGUAUGCAUUGCUAAACAAUGCUACUGCCACCUGGUUUGGAGCAUUUUAACAAGGCUGAUGACUUCCAAGGUCUUUGCUGUGUGAACAACACUGUUCAGAGGUGCUAAGUACAGUCGGCAGGCAAACGUUUGACAAAUCUACCAGUGUGUCUGAGCUUUAAGACGGAUUCCACUGGACCCAAGAGGAAUGAGGAUCCGUAAAAGCGUCAUCAUGGGGUCCCAGAGAAAUCUGUAACCUAUCUCAUUUGAUGAAGGCGUGCUCUGCAAAUACUCAACUGAUAGCGCAGGCUUGAAGGAUGCUGUUGCUUUCACUGGAUAUAGUUCUCAUGUCUGGUGAUGCUGAUACAGAGAUGUGGAAUACGAAUGGAUUGCUCUUUUUAUGAACCAGGCAGGAGGAGUACAGUAAAGUGUUACCUUGGAUAUGAGAAUGAGUCCUGUGAACCACUGUGCCAAAAUGCAGUAUGGGGACUGGUGAUACCAUGAAGACAGGGUCCAGAUGUUGCCCUUCUACCGAGGGGGAAUACAUUCCCUAUCACUCACACUGCAGUGGGAAAUCACUCCAGAGAAAAUCCCACCACUGAAAUGGAACUUGGGACAUGCUGCUGUAGCAGAGGAUCCUGCUCCUGCAUCUGACAGCUGAGCUGACCAAAGAGCAACUGUCAAGCUGUUGACAGAGCCACAAUGCCCACUCAACUGAGCUAUUUCAGAGGACAAUCAGAUCUGGGAGAGGAGAGGAAGCCACAAGCAGGUCUGGAAUCACAGAGGGAGCUGGCCACAC